CUGCAGACUUGUUGGUUAAGGAACAACUUAAUUUAAAACACAUAGAACCUUCUAAUAGUCCAUGGAAUACUCCUAUACUUCUUAUUAAAAAGAAAUUAGGUAAAUGGAGAUUAUUACAAGAUUUAAGAGCUAUAAAUGCUACUAUGGAGGAUAUGGGUUCCUUACAACCAGGACUCACCUCUCCAGUAACUGUCCCUAAAGGAUCUCAUGUUAUGGUAAUAGACUUACAAGAUUGCUUUUUUACUAUUCCAUUACAUCCUGAUGAUCAUAAAAGGUUUGCUUUUAG
rnacentral:ncRNA from 1 species